rnacentral:rRNA from 1 species
GACUCUAAUCAAUAGACAUACGGCGUAAAACGUGUUUAAGAAACCCCUACCAAUAAAGCCAAACUUUAGCUAAGCCGUAAAAAGCCCCAGCUACUGGAAGCCCCACUACGAAAGUAACUUUAAACUAUCUGAACACACGACAGCUGAGACCCAAACUGGGAUUAGAUACCCCACUAUGCUCAGCCUUAAACCUAAAAAAUUGAAAUAACAAAAUUCUUCGCCAGAGUACUACUAGCUAAAGCUUAAAACUCAAAGGACUUGGCGGUGCUUUAUAUCCCUCUAGAGGAGCCUGUUCUAUAAUCGAUAAACCCCGAUAAACCCUACCAACCCUUGCCAACU